GCCUAACACAUGCAAGUCGAACGGAGCCAUCUAAACAAUCCCUUCGGGGUGCGUUUGGGGAAGCUUAGUGGCGGACGGGUGAGUAACGCGUGAGUAACCUGCCUUUCAGAGGGGGAUAACGUUCCGAAAGGAACGCUAAUACCGCAUAACGUAUUUUUACCGCAUGAUAGAGAUACCAAAGAUUUAUCGCUGAAAGAUGGACUCGCGUCUGAUUAGCUAGUUGGAGGGGUAACGGCCCACCAAGGCGACGAUCAGUAGCCGAACUGAGAGGUUGAUCGGCCACAUUGGGACUGAGACACGGCCCAGACUCCGACGGGAGGCAGCAGUGGGGGAUAUUGCGCAAUGGGGGAAACCCUGACGCAGCAAUGCCGCGUGAAGGAAGAAGGUCUUCGGAUCGUAAACUUUUGUCUUCAGGGACGAUAAUGACGGUACCUGAGGAGGAAGCCACGGCUAACUACGUGCCAGCCGCCGCCGUAACAC
rnacentral:rRNA from 1 species